CAGAACCAAGAGAUCCGUUGUUGAAAGUUGUAACUAUUAUGUUUUUUCAGACGCUGAUUUCAAUUACAAAGGGUUUAAGUUUGUCCAAUCGGCGGGCGGACCCGCCGAGGAAACGAAGGUACUCAAAAGACAUGGGUAAGAGAUGGUAGGCAAAGCCUACAACUCUAGGUAAUGAUCCUU
rnacentral:misc_RNA from 1 species